GGGANUUUGCNCAUGGGGGNAACCCUGAGCAGCAACGCCGCGUGGAGANGAUGAAGNCCUUUGGGACGUAAACUNCUUUCGACCGGAACGAUUAUGACGGUACCNGNGGAAGAAGCNCCGGCUAACUNCGUGCCAGCAGCCGCGGUAAUACGANGGGGGCAGAGCGUUGUUCGGAAUUAUUGGGCGUAAAGGGCGCGUAGGCGGUGCUCUAAGUUACCUGUGAAACCUCCCGGGCUCAACUGAGAGNCUGCACGCNAAACUGCCGGGCUGGAGUGUGGGAGAGGAGCGUGGAAUUCCNGGUGUAGCGGUGAAAUGCGUAGAUAUCAGGGAGGAACACCUGUGGCGAAAGCAGCUCACUGGACCANAACUGACGCUGAGGCACGAAAGCUAGGGGAGCAAACAGGAUUAGAUACCCUGGUAGUCCUAGCCCUAAACGAUGGAUGCUUGGUGUANCCGGUACCCAAUCCNGCCGNGCCAAAUCUAACGCUAUAAGCAUCCCNNCUGGAGAGNACGGUCACANGGCUGAANCUCAAAGAAANNGACNGA
rnacentral:rRNA from 1 species